rnacentral:rRNA from 1 species
GACGAACGCUGGCGGCGUGCUUAACACAUGCAAGUCGAACGAAGUGGCGAACGGGUGAGUAACGCGUAAUCAACCUGCCCUUCAGAGGGGGACCACAGUGGGAAACGACUGCUAAUACCGCAUACGGAAGGAGGGGAUGGCGUCUGAUUAGAUAGUGGGGGGGGUAACGGCCCACCAAGGCGAGGAUCAGUAGCCGGUCUGAUGGGAUGAACGGCCACAUUGGGACUGAGACACGGCCCAGACUCCUACGGGGGGCAGCAGUGGGGAAUCUUCCGAAAUGGACGACAGUCUGACGGAGCAACGCCGCGUGAGUGAUGACGGCCUUCGGGUUGUAAAGCUCUGUUAAUCGGGACGCGGUACCGGAAUAGAAAGCCACGGCUAACUACGUGCCAGCAGCCGCGGUAAUAC